rnacentral:rRNA from 1 species
GACGUAGGGCGCGAGCGUUGUCCGGAUUUAUUGGGCGUAAAGAGCUCGUAGGCGGCUUGUUGCGUCGACCGUGAAAACCCGGGGCUCAACUUCGGGCUUGCGGUCGAUACGGGCGGGCUAGAGUUCGGUAGGGGAGACUGGAAUUCCUGGUGUAGCGGUGAAAUGCGCAGAUAUCAGGAGGAACACCGGUGGCGAAGGCGGGUCUCUGGGCCGAUACUGACGCUGAGGUGCGAAAGCGUGGGGAGCAAACAGG